rnacentral:rRNA from 1 species
AGACCUACGGGAGGCAGCAGUGGGGAAUAUUGGGCAAUGGGCGCAAGCCUGACCCAGCAACGCCGCGUGAAGGAAGAAGGCUUUCGGGUUGUAAACUUCUUUUAAGAGGGAAGAGUAGAAGACGGUACCUCUUGAAUAAGCCACGGCUAACUACGUGCCAGCAGCCGCGGUAAUACGUAGGGGGCAAGCGUUGUCCGGAAUUACUGGGCGUAAAGAGAGCGUAGGCGGCACUACAAGUCUCAUGUGAAAUACCCGGGCUUAACUUGGGGGUUGCAUGGGAAACUGUAGAGCUUGAGUACAGGAGA